rnacentral:misc_RNA from 1 species
UAAUAAGUGUUUUAUGGCACUUUUUAAAUCCAUAUCCACCUUGUGUGCAAUGUCAGUCGAUCUUCUUCAUGGAGAUCGACCAAACAUCAACCUUUAUUUUUUAACUCUUUGUCUGAAAAAUAUUAUGAAUAUAAAUUCUAAAAUA